rnacentral:rRNA from 1 species
UGGGGAAUUUUGGACAAUGGGGGAAACCCUGAUCCAGCCAUCCCGCGUGUGCGAUGAAGGCCUUCGGGUUGUAAAGCACUUUUGGCAGGAAAGAAACGUCAUGGGUUAAUACCCCGUGAAACUGACGGUACCUGCAGAAUAAGCACCGGCUAACUACGUGCCAGCAGCCGCGGUAAUACGUAGGGUGCAAGCGUUAAUCGGAAUUACUGGGCGUAAAGCGUGCGCAGGCGGUUCGGAAAGAAAGAUGUGAAAUCCCAGAGCUCAACUUUGGAAAUGCAUUUUUAACUACCGGGCUAGAGUGUGUCAGAGGGAGGUGGAAUUCCGCGUGUAGCAGUGAAAUGCGUAGAUAUGCGGAGGAACACCGAUGGCGAAGGCAGCCUCCUGGGAUAACACAGUCGAUCAUGUAAGAAAGCGUGGGGAGCAAACAGG